GCUGGGCGUGGUGGCGCAUGCCUGUAGUCCCAGUUGCCCUGGAGGCUGAGGCAGGAGAAUUGCUUGAACCCGGGAGGUGGAGGUUGCAGUGAGCCGAGAUCAUGCCACUGCACUCCAGCCUGGGCAACAGAGCAAGACUCUGUCUCAC
rnacentral:SRP_RNA from 1 species